rnacentral:rRNA from 1 species
AGUUUGAUCCUGGCUCAGGACGAACGCUGGCGGCGUUGCUUAAUACAUGCAAGUCAACUGAACUUAAGAUAGCAAUAUUUUAAGGGAGGUGGCGCACGGGUGAGUAACACGUAGGUAAUCUGCCUUUAGGUCUGACACAACCCCGAGAAAUCGGGGCUAAUAUCAGAUGAUGCAGCGGCUCGACAUCGAGACAGUUGUUAAACCUUCGGGGCCUAAAGAUGAGCCUGCGUCUGAUUAGCUGGUUGGCGGGGUAACGGCCCACCAAGGCAACGAUCAGUAGCUGGUCUGAGAGGAUGAUCAGCCACACUGGAACUGACACACGGGCCAGACUCCUACGGGAGGCAGCAGUGAGGAAUAUUGGGCAAUGGGCGAAAGCCUGACCCAGCAACGCCGCGUGAGGGAUGAAGGCCUUCGGGUUGUAAACCUCUUUUCUGGGAGAAGAGACAAGGACGGUAUCCCAGGAAUAAGUCUCGGCUAACUACGUG